rnacentral:sRNA from 1 species
GCCAGGCGUGGUGGUACAUGCCUGUAAUCUCAGCAGCUCAGGAGGCUGAGGCAGGAGGAUGGCAAGUUCAAAGCCAGCCUCUGCAACUUAGCAAGGCCCUAAGCAAAUUAGUGAGAUCCUGCCUCAA